UCCCUGGUGGUCUAGUGGUUAGGAUUUGUUGCUUUCACUGUGGAGGCCCAGGUUCAAUCCCUGGUCUGGGAA
rnacentral:tRNA from 1 species